rnacentral:rRNA from 1 species
GCUUAACACAUGCAAGUCGAGGGGCAGCACAGGUAGCAAUACCGGGUGGCGACCGGCGCACGGGUGAGUAACGCGUAUGCAACUUACCUAUCAGAGGGGGAUAACCCGGCGAAAGUCGGACUAAUACCGCAUGAAGCAGGGGCCCCGCAUGGGGAUAUUUGCUAAAGAUUCAUCGCUGAUAGAUAGGCAUGCGUUCCAUUAGGCAGUUGGCGGGGUAACGGCCCACCAAACCGACGAUGGAUAGGGGUUCUGAGAGGAAGGUCCCCCACAUUGGUACUGAGACACGGACCAAACUCCUACGGGAGGCAGCAGUGAGGAAUAUUGGUCAAUGGCCGAGAGGCUGAACCAGCCAAGUCGCGUGAGGGAUGAAGGUUCUAUGGAUCGUAAACCUCUUUUAUAAGGGAAUAAAGUGCGGGACGUGUCCCGUUUUGUAUGUACCUUAUGAAUAAGGAUCGGCUAACUCCGUGCCAGCAGCCGCGGUAAUACGGAGGAUCCGAGCGUUAUCCGGAUUUAUUGGGUUUAAAGGGUGCGUAGGCGGCCUUUUAAGUCAGCGGUGAAAGUCUGUGGCUCAACCAUAGAAUUGCCGUUGAAACUGGGGGGCUUGAGUAUGUUUGAGGCAGGCGGAAUGCGUGGUGUAGCGGUGAAAUGCAUAGAUAUCACGCAGAACCCCGAUUGCGAAGGCAGCCUGCCAAGCCAUUACUGACGCUGAUGCACGAAAGCGUGGGGAUCAAACAGGAUUAGAUACCCUGGUAGUCCACGCAGUAAACGAUGAUCACUAGCUGUUUGCGAUACACUGUAAGCGGCACAGCGAAAGCGUUAAGUGAUCCACCUGGGGAGUACGCCGGCAACGGUGAAACUCAAAGGAAUUGACGGGGGCCCGCACAAGCGGAGGAACAUGUGGUUUAAUUCGAUGAUACGCGAGGAACCUUACCCGGGUUUGAACGCAUUCGGACCGAGGUGGAAACACCUUUUCUAGCAAUAGCCGUUUGCGAGGUGCUGCAUGGUUGUCGUCAGCUCGUGCCGUGAGGUGUCGGCUUAAGUGCCAUAACGAGCGCAACCCUUGCCACUAGUUACUAACAGGUAAAGCUGAGGACUCUGGUGGGACUGCCAGCGUAAGCUGCGAGGAAGGCGGGGAUGACGUCAAAUCAGCACGGCCCUUACAUCCGGGGCGACACACGUGUUACAAUGGCGUGGACAAAGGGAAGCCACCUGGCGACAGGGAGCGAAUCCCCAAACCACGUCUCAGUUCGGAUCGGAGUCUGCAACCCGACUCCGUGAAGCUGGAUUCGCUAGUAAUCGCGCAUCAGCCAUGGCGCGGUGAAUACGUUCCCGGGCCUUGUACACACCGCCCGUCAAGCCAUGGGAGCCGGGGGUACCUGAAGUCCGUAACCGCGAGGAUCGGCCUAGGGUAAAACUGGUGACUGGGGCUAAGUCG